GAUGAACGCUGGCGGCGUGCCUAACACAUGCAAGUCGAGCGUGAACCCUGCGAAUGAAACUUCGGUCGAUUUUGCAGGGGGAAAGCGGCGGACGGGUGAGUAACGCGUAGGUAACCUGCCCCAUACUGAGGGAUAGCCUCGGGAAACCGGGAUUAAUACCUCAUAACACCGUAUAUUCGCAUGGAUGUGCGGUCAAAGAUUUAUCGGUAUGGGAUGGGCCUGCGUCUGAUUAGCUGGUUGGUGGGGUAACGGCCUACCAAGGCGACGAUCAGUAGCCGACCUGAGAGGGUGAUCGGCCACAUUGGAACUGAGACACGGUCCAAACUCCUACGGGAGGCAGCAGUGGGGAAUAUUGCACAAUGGACGAAAGUCUGAUGCAGCAACGCCGCGUGGAGGAUGACACAUUUCGGUGCGUAAACUCCUUUUAUAUAAGAAGAUAAUGACGGUAUUAUAUGAAUAAGCACCGGCUAACUCCGUGCCAGCAGCCGCGGU
rnacentral:rRNA from 1 species